GACGAACGCUGGCGGCGUGCUUAACACAUGCAAGUCGAACGGAAAGGCCCUUCGGGGUGCUCGAGUGGCGAACGGGUGAGUAACACGUGGGUGAUCUGCCCUGCACUUUGGGAUAAGCCUGGGAAACUGGGUCUAAUACCGAAUACACCCUGCUGGUUGCAUGACCUGGUAGGGGAAAGCUUUUGCGGUGUGGGAUGGGCCCGCGGCCUAUCAGCUUGUUGGUGGGGUGAUGGCCUACCAAGGCGACGACGGGUAGCCGGCCUGAGAGGGUGACCGGCCACACUGGGACUGAGAUACGGCCCAGACUCCUACGGGAGGCAGCAGUGGGGAAUAUUGCACAAUGGGCGCAAGCCUGAUGCAGCGACGCCGCGUGGGGGAUGACGGCCUUCGGGUUGUAAACCUCUUUCAGUAGGGACGAAGCGUGAGUGACGGUACCUACAGAAGAAGGACCGGCCAACUACGUGCCAGCAGCCGCGGUAACAC
rnacentral:rRNA from 1 species